AAGAUUGUAUUGUAUCUUUAGGUUAUACGGACCGUUGUCGUUGUCGUGUUGCCGUGCCGCCGUCGCCGUAUUUACCAGUACCGUAUUUUUAUUCCGUGGUGUGUCGUGUAUAUUUUAUGUUGCAUUCGUUUCGUUUGUCCGUUCGUGUGUUUAAUCGUUUUUUUGCCGUUCCUUCAUCAUCAGCAUUACAGCUUGUUGGUGGAUAAAUGUUUGGAUGUGGAUAGCUGUGAAAUGGCUGGCUCUGGCUAGUCCAACGAGAAAAGGAGGAUACCAACUCCAUACAGCGGCGUUUUGUGGAAAAGAAGAAUUCCGAAUUCUGGGUUUAUUCCAGUGUCACCGAAUUGAAAACGAAUAAAAAAACGACAGAAAACAAAUAAUUGGAUUAAAUUGAAUUAAAAUGAAUUUGUUCGACUUCGGCGAAUCAUAGAUAGAUAGUGAAUAUACCAAAAUACCAAAUAGAAUGUGAACCAUUCUUUAAUGAAAAAAAAA
rnacentral:sRNA from 1 species